rnacentral:rRNA from 1 species
UACGAAGGAGGCUAGCGUUGUUCGGAAUCACUGGGCGUAAAGCGCACGUAGGCGGAUUGUUAAGUCGGGGGUGAAAUCCUGAGGCUCAACCUCAGAACUGCCUUCGAUACUGGCAAUCUCGAGUCCGGAAGAGGUUAGUGGAACAGCUAGUGUAGAGGUGAAAUUCGUAGAUAUUAGGAAGAACACCAGUGGCGAAGGCGGCUCACUGGCCCGGUACUGACGCUGAGGCGCGAAAGCGUGGGAGCAAACAGGG